CCCAUGGAUCCGCCCCAUAGAUCCCGCCCCAUAGAUCCCGCCCCAUAGAUCCCAACCCAUAGAUCCAACCCAUAGAUCCCGACCCACAGAUCCGCCCCAUAGAUCCUGACCCAUAGAUCCCGACCCAUAGAUCCACUCCAUGUUACACUCCCAGCCCCAUAGCAAUGGGGCCCUGAGAUGGGGGGCAGUUGUGGGGUGCCCCAUAGAUCCCACCCCAUAGAUUUGCCCCAAGGAACACUCCCAGCCCCAUAGCAAUGGGGCCUUUAGGUUGGGGCAGUUGUGGGGUGCCCCAUAGAUCCUGCCCCACAGAUCCCCCCCAUAGAUCCGCCCCAUAGAUCCACCCCACAGAUCCCCCCCAUGUUACACUCCCAGCCCCAUAGCAGCGCUGGGGUCUUGUGCUGGGCGUUACCUGUGGGCUGCCCCAUAGAUCUGCCCCAUAGAUUCCGCCCCACAGAUCUGCCCCAUAGCUCCUG
rnacentral:lncRNA from 1 species